rnacentral:rRNA from 1 species
AAUACGUUCCCGGACCUUGCACACGCCGCCCGUCAAGCCAUGGAAGCUGGGUGUACCUAAAGUCGAUAACCGCAAGGAGUCGCCUAGGGUAAAACUAGUAACUGGGGCU